AAUAAUAAUAAUAACAACAACUCACAACAACAAUCAACAGCAACAAAACCACCCGAAAUAUUUGUAUUGAGUAUGGAUGGCUGCCACAAAACCUUGAUUGAUGGGAAGUGAGUUCGUUGUACCUCUUCUUUGAAAAUAUCAGAUAGAUCAAUAAUCUCAUAACCUUCAACACUUCUCUUUUCUUUUGGCAUCUCGCACAAAUCUUAGUCCCCAACGAUACGUGAACUUAUUAGUAUAUCUUUAGACACUUUCAUAGAGAUACUCCAUUCCUUUAUUGUCAAGUUUCCACAUAGUGAGUUCGUUGUGGCCAGUGAUUGAAAACCAUGAUUUGGAGUGGAGAUGGUCAGAUCUGGUAAACAAGGUAGUGAUGAGAGUAAUGGCAGUAGUGGUGAAGGUCAACUCAUAGUAGUUUGAUAAAAAAAUCAACUUGAAGUGGCGAUUGUCGUGCUUGGUUCGUAAAGGAGAUUAUGCUGGUUAAUCAGACCCAGUGGUGGAUGGGAUUUGACAUGCAGGAAGAAGGAAGUGUGUUAAUGGUGUCGGUCAUUGGUAAAAGUGGCAAGUUUCAUGGUAGUGGCUGGUGGAGAGCUCGCAGGUUUAGGUUACCUGUGCGGCGGCUACGCGACUGAUUAAGGGCAAAGAACAUUUGGGUUUUGGUUGACGGCUGACGAUGAAUCUGGUGGUGGCUUGAACAGAGGUGGUAGUGGCCGGAGAUGGUGGCAACUAGGGCUUUAUGAUUUUUUUUUAAGCGAUGGAUUUGGUGGAGAUUGAUAAGGGUAACCAGGAAAGCUAUGCAAUUGGCACAAAAACACUCUGAUACCAACUAAUAGAGCUGGCACAACAGAAGCGAAAUUGAUAAGAUAGGAAACACUAGUUAUCGUUCUAGUCAUGGACCAAGCUUACAGAUUAGGUUACGCUCUAAUCAAAGUAUAAUUAGAUCUCAUUCUAAUCCAAACGAUUCAACGAGAUUUUUUUAAUAUCGCAUUAAGCGAGAUUAGAUGACGCUGUAGUUCAAACAACUUUACAAGAGAGUUUUUUUAUAGAUAAUCCCAUAGGGAAUUAUAAAAGGGGUUUUAUUGAAUAAUUGAAAUUGAAGUUACAAUAAUAAGACCACUCUAUUUAUAAUAGAGUAAACCUAUAAAUAGAGUAAACCUACUUUCCUAAUUUAAUUUAAAAAGGAAUACAAAAUCACAAUUACAAUAGAAAUAGAAGAAUAAGACACAUACCAAAUUAACACUAAUUAAAAUAGAAAGUCCAAAAAUAAUAAAAAUUCUAGAAUCCUAUAAUAACGUCCUACAUCAUAAAUGCAACUUAAGUAUUGUUUAAGAUAUUAGAAAUUGCAUUUUUUAUGGUUUAAGGCACGAGAAUUAUAUAUUAAUAAUUUGAGUGUGUUACAAUA
rnacentral:lncRNA from 1 species